rnacentral:lncRNA from 1 species
AUAUCCCAAAUUUCCCUUUUUUUUCAAAUUCUAUGGUUAAAAACCCUACUUGCUUCUAAAUUAAUUUCGAUGCUUUGACUCAAAUUCCACAUAGCAUAUUUGCAUAUUGCAUGAACAAAUAUAUAUAUUGACAAAAUGUAUGAACACAUAUCCAAUAUAUAUACAAGAUUCUAAAAAAUGCUAGGCGCUAGUCGGGCGGCGGGCUGGCGCCUAACGCUUAGGCGGCUAGGAGGGGUCUAGGCGGAUUUAUUUAAUUUUCUUGUAUAUCUUGUAAAUAAGUGCAUAUUCACACUUAAAAAAAAAAAUUAUACUUGUAUGAAAUCCAUGGAUAAGAUAAACAAAAAAUGAUAAAAUGCAAAAAGAGUAUCCAACAAGUUCACAAUUUUAAACCACUUAGACUUAGAUAGGAUUUUUUUAUUUUAUUUUUUAAUUUCAUUA